rnacentral:lncRNA from 1 species
CAUCUUCAGGCUUUUGCUUGGCAAGUUUUUGGGUUAAGUUAUUACCCAGCUAUCAUAGAUAUUAAAAUUUGCCAAGUAAAAGCCUGUAUUGAAUUUAUUUAAGUUAUUAAACAAACAGUUGCUUUUAAAUCAAGUUUGGCAAUCUUUUGGCCUCGACAUUUUGGUUGUCCAGGAGACCUAUUUUACCUACAUGAAGGGUGUUAGGCCUUUCUGGCGACAUUUUGAUCGGGUCUCCAAUUACUGGAGUUUCACCAUCGGAGGUAGUGGUGGCGUCGGUACCUCCUUUCAUCGAAGAUCACAGUUUAGCAAUUUGUACCGACGUCGUGAUAUUACGCCAAACACCCAAUUGUCGAUGACAUCCCAUUAUAAAACAUUGUCUAUUGUUUUUCAAUAUAUUCAAUUUUUGUCGGUGGCAUCCUAUUUCUAUGGAUGGUCUACUGUUAACUAACAAUGCUUACCAGUGGUAUCCCAUUAUCAAGGAUGGUCAAAUGUAUAACCUUUUAUUUUUGCUUCUCGGGGAUAUCUUAAUUGAGGAUGGUCGGGAAUAUCCUAUAUAUAAUGGUUUAUUGUUAGAAAUCCUCUGCUUAUUAUUAUUGUGUAAAACUUGUGUUUAAAGUGGCAGUAUGGUAAAUCUGUGGCUUGCCACCCUGGAGAAUACGGGCCGCAUACAUCCAGUCUUUCAGGGGCCUAACUCGUUGAGCCCUUUCUUUCAAUCUUCCGGUUGAUCCCAUCAUGGGUAUUGGCCAUAACACGAAUCUUUAAUUAAAG